GUGAAUCAUCGAAUCUUUGAACGCAAAUUGCGCCUUUUUGGAAAGGCAUGUCUGUUUGAGGGCAAGAUUUAAUAAAUAAUGCGCAGCGGUUUUUGUUGUACAGGCUGAUGAGCUUUGCAAGAAUUUUAAAUUUUUGGUGGCGCAUAAUGAACAGUGCGAAAGGGUUUUUCAGUUCGAGUGUAGUAAAAUCUUUGCUUGGGUUGUGAAAAAACAUAAUCGUGUAAUGGGGGUGGCAAUUUCUUUUUAUGC
rnacentral:misc_RNA from 1 species